rnacentral:rRNA from 1 species
GAUGAACGCUGGCGGCGUGCCUUAUACAUGCAAGUCGAGUGGGUUUAGACCCACGGCAAACGGGUGAGUAACACGUAGGUACUUUCCUUGUCACAGGAAUAACCCUCCGAAAGGAGGGCUAAUACCUGAUGUGAUCGCAAGAUUAAAGGGUAUCCGCAAGGAUUACCGGACAAGAAGAGGCCUGCGGCCUAUCAGCUAGUUGGCGGGGUAAAUGCCCACCAAGGCUAUGACGGGUAGCUGGUCUUAUGAGGAUGAUCAGUCACAUGGGCACUGAGACACGGGCCCAACUCCUACGGGAGGCAGCAGUAGGGAAUUUUGCGCAAUGGGCGAAAGCCUGGCGCAGCGACGCCGCGUGCGGGAUGAAGGCCUUCGGGUCGUAAACCGCUUUUAUAAGGGACGAACUUUGACGGUACCUUAUGAAUAAGAGGUUGCUAACUCUGUG